CCUACGGGGGGCAGCAGUGGGGGAUAUUGCACAAUGGGGGGAACCCUGAUGCAGCGACGCCGCGUGGGUGAAGGCGUAUUUCGGUAUGUAAAGCUCUAUCAGCAGGGAAGAAAAUGACGGUACCUGAGUAAGAAGCCCCGGCUAACUACGUGCCAGCAGCCGCGGUAAUACGUAGGGGGCAAGCGUUAUCCGGAUUUACUGGGUGUAAAGGGGACGUAGUCGGCAGUGCAAGUCUGGAGUGAAAUGCGAGGGCUUAACCCUCGGACAGCUUUGGAAACUGUGCGGCUGGAGUGCAGGAGAGGUAAGCGGAAUUCCUAGUGUAGCGGUGAAAUGCGUAGAUAUCACGCAGAACUCCGAUUGCGAAGGCAGCUUACUGGACCGUAACUGACGCUGAGGCACGAAAGCGUGGGGAUCAAACAGGAUUAGAUACCCUGGUAGUC
rnacentral:rRNA from 1 species